GCAGGAGGGCGCGCGGGCGCGUGCGGGUCGCGAAGCGGGUCAAGGCGGGUUUUCGGGUCUGUGACCUUCUUUUCUUCAUUUUUUUCAAUUCUCUCACCCGGUUGAACCAAUUACAGCCUAGCUUCAACUCUAAUGACUUUUUUUAUUUUUUUAAAAAAAUUACAAACACUUUGCAACAAUAAAAAUAAGCCAUUAACAAGGCUAAUUACAAUAAUUAGAAAAAAAACACUUAAUCUAGAGCCAAAAUCAUAAUAUAUCCAUUUUAGUUCAAACCAAAAUUUAUCUAAUAAAUAUGAACCCACCAUAUGCAAUUGGGUAAAAAUGAAGCAUGCUCUGAUACCACAUGAUAGAACUAAGUCAUGCACAGCGGAAAAGGAAUCGAAUUUCUACCCUAAUUGCCACAAUUAACAUGUAACCAUAAACUAAUCAAAUUAGGGUUUUAAGAAGUAUUACCUUUGAAGCUUUCAAAAGGUUUGAUAUCUUCUUACCAAUUCUACCGAGACCACCACUAGUACUCAACUGCUAUCCUCUAGACAAAGAACCGGGUUGUGGGACCCAAUUUUGGUGUAGAAAGUAAUGGAGAUAAAAGAUUGGAAGUUUCUUUUUUUCUUUUGUUGAGAUGAUGAAAAUGAUAAAAGAGGCAAAAGUCCUUCAACAUUUGAAAACACCUCUAUUUAUAACCUAAUUACAUGCAAAAAUGCAUGCAAUUCAUUUGCCAAAUCUCAACACCUAAUGUUCCACUAACAAUUAGUGGAACUUAGUGGGCUAGGUGUCUAUAUCUCAUAUAGCCACAUAUCCCACUAAGAGUUAGUGGGAUUAUCCAACAAAAUGUUGGAUUUUCCCACUAACUUAGUCCAAGGGUAAAAUGGUCAUUAGAUAUUUCUAGUCAAAAGUCAAACUUUGACUUUUCUUAGUCAAAAGUCAAUAUUUUGACUUUUUACCAUUUUGUCCGUCUUGACUAAUUCCAACCUCCCGAGCAUGAAUCCGCAUUCAUUUUUCCAAAAUUCAAAUCACAUUUGAAUAUAAGGCCGGUCAAAGUUUGACUUUUCAAAGUCAAAAGUCAACAUUUUGACUUUUUACUAUUUUUGACCAAUUCCAUCAAUUCGAGCUUCUUAGUAUGAAUCCGCAUUCAUACUUAUAGUAUGUAAAACAUAAAGCUCUAUUUCUAAUUAGAAGACCGACGACUAUAUCACUAUAUUUGUCGGUUUCCCUUUCUUCUCCCAAUUCGAACAAUUCGACUUAUUUCAUCACACUGUUCUAAGUUUAAUCCAUAUGAGCUAGCAGAGGAACCUAAUGGACCUAUAGAUCAUGGGCUCCAACGAUUCAAGAUUAACUAGCUAAACUCUUUUAAACCGAGUUAAUCAACAUUCGUUAACUAACGGGUCAUUCCACUAAAGUCCCGUAGUUGCACUCCCCUCACUAUAGAUAUAUUUGUGUCCAUUUGAUAAAACCAUAAUCAGUAAGUUAAUCCUUCACAGGUUGCUCGUAACCUUGGCUGGGUCAAAAUACCGUUUUACCCCCAAGAUUACAUCUUGCUCCUUAAGUCCCACUAAUCCACUAUUGAACAAUUGGUUUAAGGUUCAACCUAUAAACUUAAUCCCUCUCGGGCCAAUGAGAGGGUGGGGCCCCUUGUUCAAGACUUGGAUUCAGUGCUUAAGAGAGCAACCUAUCUACUAACCCUAAAGCGGGUAGGAGUGAAUUCCAUCUUGUACCCUAUGUUCCCAGCUAUCCACCCGAUCUUACCCCUGAAAUGGGAGGCUUAUUGGGCCAACGCUGAUGAGCUGCCCUCACCUAUGCAGAUCUAAGGAUAAUCUCGUGUGAACAGGAGUUCAUAGUUAACUCAGGAUUAAGACUAAGUUACCUAGGUCAUCAAUAAUUGAGAUAGUCAGUUUUAAACAGUAAACGGUGUUAUAACGUAAAAAGACUAAUUCAUGGUUCAGUCUUAUGUAAACAUUUUACAUAGGAUGCCCCCACUUUCAUGUCUCUACAUGAACGAUUAGGAUCAUCAUUUGUACUACAAAGUGGGCCGCAUCCAUAGUUUCUCUAAAUAAGGCGCCCAACCUUUAUUUCAUAUACUAUAGACUAUUUAGGCUAUAUACUCGAACUUGAUCCACGUUUAUGUUUACACAUAAAGUUCAAGUUUAUUCAAUAAUAAUAUUUACAAACUACGAGUUUUAGGACAAAAAAUUCCAACAGGUCGUUCCUUUCUAGGCCACUAUGCCUUUCUUUCGGCGUUUUGGGACGGAACCAAGAAACCGAGUCUAGGGCAUCACCGUUCGGCUUUUGUGGGCAAGAAACUUCGAGACCACUCAGAAUCGGACCACCCAGUAGCUAGACGUGAAGUUUCGAGGCCGCCGACCCCGUUCUAAGUCUUGUCGUUCCUUUCUAGGCCACUGUGCCUUUCUUUCGGCGUUUUGGGACGGAACCAAGAAACCGAGUCUGGGGCAUCACCGUUCAGAUUUUGGGGGUAAGAAACUUCGUGACCACUCAGAAUCGGACCACCCAGUAGCUAGACGUGAACUUUCGAGGCCGCCGGCCUCAUUCUAAGUCCCGUCGUUCCUUUCUAGGCCACUGUGCCUUUCUUUAGGAUUUUGGGAUGGAACCAAGAAACCGAGUCUGGGCAUCACCGUUCGAAUUUUAUGGGCAAGAAACUUCGAGACCACUAAGAAUCGACCAACCAGUAGCUAGACGUGAACUUUCGAGGCCGCCGACCCCGUUCUAAGUCCGUCGUUCCUUUCUAGGCCACUAUGCCUUUAUUUCGACGUUUUGGGACGGGACCAAGAAACCGAGUCUGGGGCAUCACCGUUCGACUUUUGUGGGCAAGAAAUUUCGAGACCACUCAGAAUCGGACCACCCAGUAGCUAGACGUGAACUUUCGAGGCCGCCGACCCCGUUCAAAGUCCGAACGUUCCUUUCUAGGCCACUGUGUUAGGCGUUUUGGGACAGAACCAAGAAACCGAGUCUGGAGAAUCACCGUUCGGCUUUAGUGGGCAAGAAACUUAGAGACCACUCAGAAUCGAACCAUCCAGUAGCUAGACGUGAACUUUUGAGGCCGCCGACCCCGUUAUAAGUUCGGUCGUUCCUUUCUAGGCCACUGUGCCUUUCUUUCGGCGUUUUGGGACUGAACCAAGAAACCGAGUCUGGGGCAUCACCGUUCGGCUUUUGUGGGCAAGAAACUUCGAGACCACUCAGAAUCGGACCACCCAGUUGCUAAACGUGAACUUUCGAGGCCGCCGACCCCGUUCUAAGUCCGGUCGUUCCUUUCUAGGCCAUUGUGCCUUUCUUUAGGCGUUUUGGGACGGAACCAAGAAACCGAGUCUGGAGAAUCACCGUUCGGCUUUAGUGGGCAAGAAACUUAGAGACCACUCAGAAUCGAACCAUUCAGUAGCUAGACGUGAACUUUCGAGGCCGCCGACCCCGUUAUAAGUUCGGUCGUUCCUUUCUAGGCCACUGUGCCUUUCUUUCGGCGUUUUGGGACUGAACCAAGAAACCGAGUCUGGGGCAUCACCGUUCGGCUUUUGUGGGCAAGAAACUUCGAGACCACUCAGAAUCGGACCACCCAGUAGCUAGAGUAACUUUCGAGGCCUCCGACCCCGUUCUCAGUCGGCCGUUCCUUUCUAGGCCACUAUGCCUUUCUUUCGGCGUUUUGGGACGGAACCAAGAAACCGAGUCUAGGGCAUCACCGUUUGUCUUUUGUGGGCAAGAAACUUUGAGACCAGAAUCGGACCACCCAGUAGCUAGACGUGAACUUUCGAGGCCUCCGACCCCGUUCUAAGUCUGGUCGUUCCUUUCUAAGCCACUCUGCCUUUCUUUCGGCGUUAUGGGACGGAACCAAGAAACCGAGUCUACGGCAUCACCGUUUGGCUUUUGUGGGCAAGAAACUUUGAGACCGCUCAAAUCAACCAACCCAGUAGCUAGACGUGAACUUUCGAGCCUCCGACCCCGUUCUAAGUCGGGCCGUUCCUUUCUAAGCCACUCUGCCUUUCUUUCGGUGUUUUGGGACGAAACCAAGAAACCGAGUCUGGGCAUCACCGUUCGGCUUUUUUGGGCAAGAAACUUGGAGACCGCUCAGAAUCGGACCACCAGUAGCUAGACGUUAACUUUUGAGGCCUUCGACCCGUUCUAUGUCGACUGUUCCGUUCUAGGCCACUAUGCCUUUCUUUCGGCGUUUUAGCACGAAACCAAUAAUUCGAGUCUGGGCAUCACCGUUCGGCUUCUGUGGGUAAGAAACUUCGAGACCACUCAGAAUCGAACCACCAGUAGCUAGACGUGAACUUUCGAGGCCUCCAAUCCCGUUCUAAGUCUGGCCGUUCCUUUCUAAGCCAUUGUGCCUUUCUUUCGGCGUUUUGGGAUGGAACCAAGAAACCGAGUCUAGGGCAUCACCGUUCGGCUUUUGUGGGCAAGAAACUUGAGACCACUCAGAAUCGGACCACCAGUAGCUAGACGUUAGCAUUUGAGGCCUCCGACCCCGUUCUAAGUCUGGCCGUUCCAUUCUAGGCCACUGUGCCUUUCAUUCGGCGUUUUGGGACGAAACCAAGAAUUCGAGUCUAGGCAUCACCGUUCGGCUUUUGUGGGCAAGAAACUUCGAGAACGCUCAGAAUCGACUACCUAGUAGCUAGACUUCAACUUUCGUGGCCUCCGUCCCCGUUCUAACUCCGGCCGUUCUUUCUAGGCCAUUAUGCUUUUCUUUCGGCGUUUUGGGACUAAACCAAGAAACGCGAGUCUAGGGCAUCACCGUUCGGCUUUUGUGGGCAAGAAACUUUGAGACCGCUCAGAAUCGGACCACCAGUAGCUAGACGUGAACUUUCGAGGCCUCCGACCCCGUUCUAAGUCCGGUCGUUCUUUUCUAGGCCAUUGUGUCUUUCUUUCGGUAUUUUGGGACGGAACAAAGAAACCGAGUCUGGGCAUCACCGUUCGGCUUUUGUGGGCAAGAAACUUUGAGCCAACUAAGAAUCGGACCACCCAGUAGCUAGACGUGAACUUCGAGGCCUCCGACCCCGUUCUCAGUCCGAUCGUUCCUUCCUAGGCCAUUGUGCCUUUCUUUCGGCUUUUGGAUGGAACCAAGAAACUGAGUCUCGGGCAUCACCGUUCGGCUUUUGUGGGCAAGAAACUUCGAGACCGCUCACAAUCGGACCACCCAGUAGCCAGACCUGAACUUUCGAGGCCUCUGACCCCGUUCUAAGUCCGGUCGUUCCUUUCUAGGCCAUUAUUCCUUUCUUUCGGCGUUUUGGGACGGAACCAAGAAACCGAGUCUGGGGCAUCACCGUUCGACAUUUGUGCAAGAAACUUCGAGACCACUCAGAAUUGGACCACCCAGUAGCCAGACGUGAACUUUCGAGGCCACCGAUCCGUUCUAAGUCUCGUCGUUCCUUUCUAGGCCACUGUGCCUUUCUUUCGGCGUUUUGGGACGGAACCAAGAAACCGAGUCUCGGCAUCACCGUUCGGCUUUUGUGGACAAGAAACUUUGAGACCACUCAGAAUCGGACCACCAGUAGCUAGAUGUGAACUUUCGAGGCCUCCGACCCCGUUCUUAAGUGUAGAUAAAACAUCCAAGUAUAACCAUUAUACAGAUUUUAACUACUAUGAUGUCUAGGUGAUAAACCAUUUUUAUUACCUCACACCUCUCAUGAAUGCUCAUAGAACUAGAUUAACUAGGCUCAAGAACUGAUUACGAUUUCCAGGUAGGAUGUUCCAUAAACUCAACUUAAGAACCUCCAACCUUAGUCAUCUUAUCUGACUUGUUCACAAGAUUGAACCAGGUGAGCCUUUUGUAACCAGUUUUACAAGAUAUCGACCUAUUUCUAUGAAAAAUGGAAGAUAUGUUUAACCUAAGUGAGCAUGCAUUUAAUCUUUGUUAUUGAUUUUAAAAGUCUAAUUUAUUUUAUAACACUUAUAAAAAUUUUUAACUUAAUCAAUCAUUUUAUCAAUAUAUAAAUUAUAAAACAAUCAAUUAAUAUGGAUUUUAAUUUAUUUAACUUUAAUUAAAUCAUAUUUAAUUAAAUUAAAUCAAACAAUAAUUAAUUAAUUUGAUUAAAUCAUAUUUAAUCAAGAAUAACUUAAUUAUUAAAUAAUUAAUUAAUCAUAUUAAUUAAUUUCCAUAUUAAUCAAUUAACAUGCAUACAAUACAAUAUAACCUUUAUAUCAUACAUUUUAAUGCAUGAACAUGUUAACCUAUGGUGGGAUUUUAAAUCUAUAUGACAUUCAAAAUGCACAUACAAAUUUAAAGUAAUUUAAUCAUACAUCACAUGCAUAAAUAAAAAAAAACACCCUAAAAUGGACUGAUUUUUGGCUCCUAAAUUAAGCUAAGUACUAAAUUAUUACAUAAUUAAUUUGGUGUAGUACAGAACCACUCCCAAAAACUUCGAACCGGCUGAAAAACCAACCGAAACCGCCGCUUGAACCGGCCCAAAAACCAAAUUUAUUGGCUUGAACCGGCCCAGGCGCACAGGUCGGGGCGGGCGAAGGCAGGCGGCGGGCGCGUCGGGCGCAGGGGCGCGGGCGUGCGGGUCGCGAAGCGGGUCAAGGCGGGUUUUCGGGUCUGUGACCUUCUUUUCUUCAUUUUUUUCAAUUCUCUCACCCGGUUGAACCAAUUACAGCCUAGCUUCAACUCUAAUGACUUUUUUUAUUUUUUAAAAAAAUUACAAACACUUUGCAACAAUAAAAAUAAGCCAUUAACAAGGCUAAUUACAAUAAUUAGAACAAAAACACUUAAUCUAGAGCCAAAAUCAUAAUAUAUCCAUUUUAGUUCAAAAAAAUUUAUCUAAUAAAUAUGAACCCACCAAUGCAAUUGGGUAAAAAUGAAGCAUGCUCUGAUACCACAUGAUAGAACUAAGUCAUGCACAGCGGAAAAAGAAUCGAAUUUCUACCCUAAUUGCCACAAUUAACAUGUAACCAUAAACUAAUCAAAUUAGGGUUUUAAGAAAUAUUACCUUUGAAGCUUUCAAAAGGUUUGAUGUCUUCUUACCAAUUCUAACCGAGACCACCACUAGUACUCAACUGCUAUCCUCUAGACAAAGAACCGGGUUGUGGGACCCAAUUUUGGUGUAGAAAGUAAUGGAGAUAAAAGAGAUUGGAAGUUUUUUUUUUUCUUUGUUGAGAUGAUGAAAAUGAUAAAAGAGGCAAAAGUCCUUCAACAUUUGAAAACACCUCUAUUUAUAGCCUAAUUACAUGCAAAAAUGCAUGCAAUUCAUUUGCCAAAUCUCAACACCUAAUGUUCCACUAACAAUUAGUGGAACUUAGUGGGCUA
rnacentral:lncRNA from 1 species